rnacentral:rRNA from 1 species
UACGGGGGGGGCAAGCGUUGUUCGGAAUUACUGGGCGUAAAGGGCUCGUAGGUGGCCAACUAAGUCAGACGUGAAAUCCCUCGGCUUAACCGGGGAACUGCGUCUGAUACUGGAUGGCUUGAGUUUGGGAGAGGGACGCGGAAUUCCAGGUGUAGCGGUGAAAUGCGUAGAGAUUUGGAGGAACACCAGUGGCGAAGGCGACUGUCUGGUCUGUAACUGACACUGAGGCGCGAAAGCGUGGGGAGCAAACAGG